GACGAACGCUGGCGGCGUGCUUAACACAUGCAAGUCGAACGAUGAAGCCGGAGCUUGCUCUGGUGAAUUAGUGGCGAACGGGUGAGUAACACGUGAGUAACCUGCCCUUGACUCUGGGAUAACUGCGGGAAACUGUAGCUAAUACCGGAUACGACCCUCGGAGGCAUCUCCUGGGGGUGGAAAGAAUUUCGGUCAAGGAUGGACUCGCGGCCUAUCAGCUAGUUGGUGAGGUAACGGCUCACCAAGGCGACGACGGGUAGCCGGCCUGAGGGGGGAACAGGCCACCCUGGGACUGAGACCAGGCCCAGACUCCUACGGGAGGCAGCAGUGGGGAAUAUUGCACAAUGGGCGCAAGCCUGAUGCAGCAACGCCGCGUGAGGGAUGACGGCCUUCGGGUUGUAAACCUCUUUUAGCAGGGAAGAAGCGAAAGUGACGGUACCUGCAGAAAAAGCACCGGCUAACUACGUGCCAGCCGCCGCCGUAA
rnacentral:rRNA from 1 species